rnacentral:rRNA from 1 species
CCCGCACAAGCGGUGGAGCAUGUGGUUUAAUUCGAUGCAACGCGAAGAACCUUACCUGGACUUGACAUCCCGGGAAUCUCCUGGAAACAGGAGAGUGCCUUUGGGAACCCGGAGACAGGUGCUGCAUGGCUGUCGUCAGCUCGUGUCGUGAGAUGUUGGGUUAAGUCCCGCAACGAGCGCAACCCUUGUCUUUAAUUGCCAGCAUUCAGUUGGGUACUUUAGAGAGACUGCCGGUGUUAAACCGGAGGAAGGUGGGGAUGACGUCAAGUCCUCAUGGCCUUUAUGUCCAGGGCUACACACGUGCUACAAUGGAUGGUACAAAGAGCAGCGAUCUCGCGAGAGGGAGCAAAUCUCAAAAACCCAUCCUCAGUUCGGAUUGGAGUCUGCAACUCGACUCCAUGAAGUUGGAAUCGCUAGUAAUCGCGGAUCAGCAUGCCGCGGUCGAAUACGUUCCCGGGCCUU